rnacentral:rRNA from 1 species
UGGGGAAUAUUGCACAAUGGGCGCAAGCCUGAUGCAGCCAUGCCGCGUGUGUGAAGAAGGCCUUCGGGUUGUAAAGCACUUUCAGCGAGGAGGAAGGUGGUGAACUUAAUACGUUCAUCAAUUGACGUUACUCGCAGAAGAAGCACCGGCUAACUCCGUGCCAGCAGCCGCGGUAAUACGGAGGGUGCAAGCGUUAAUCGGAAUUACUGGGCGUAAAGCGCACGCAGGCGGUUUGUUAAGUCAGAUGUGAAAUCCCCGGGCUCAACCUGGGAACUGCAUUUGAAAACUGGCAAGCUAGAGCCUCGUAGAGGGGGGUAGAAUUCCAGGUGUAGCGGUGAAAUGCGUAGAGAUCUGGAGGAAUACCGGUGGCGAACGGCGGCCCCCUGGACGAAGACUGACGCUCAGGUGCGAAAAGCGUGGGGAGCAAACAGGAUUAGAUACCCCUGGUAGUCCACGCUGUAAAACGAUGUCGAUUUUGGAGGUUGUGCCCUUGAGGCGUGGCUUCCGGAGCUAACGCGUUAAAUCGACCGCCUGGGGAGUACGGCCGCAAGGUUAAAACUUAAAUGAAUU